UGGGGACAUGGAGGAGGCAUCCGAUUGAUGAUUCUCAUCAUCGAUGUUUUCUAUUUAUCUCUCCCUCUCUCUGAAAUCAAUAAAAACAUAUUUAAAAAAAUGUAAUUAGCCAGUUGAUUUAAUUCGUAUAAGUUUAUACUCUCUCACACUUGGAACCUCACACUUUUAGUUAACAAAUUAGUGGGCUGAAAUUGCAAUUGGGGCUUCAGAUUUGCUCUGGAGAGUCUUUUGACCAGAGGACAAGAUCUACUUUGCUCCGCUUCUGGAUAUCUUGCUAGUUGGGAAUUUAACCUCAAGGAGCCGAGCCAUACUUAACUCAACUGCAGCUGCUUAAGUUUGAGUUGGUGCCUCAGAGUCUCAGCGUGUUCAGGUCUGCUUCCAGAGAGCACCUGGUGUUCUCUCUUCUUCCUGAAUCAUCUCCAUUAAGCCUGACGAUGCAGGAGACUCUUCUGUUUCAUAAUUUCUUCCAAUAAAAUUUUAUUCUCCAAACUGUUCAAAA